rnacentral:lncRNA from 10 species
CUUCAGGCACUACAGCCUAGAACUCCUGGACUCAAGCAAUCCUCCCCUCAGUCUCCCAAGUAACUGAGACUACUAGCAUGCACCACUACACCCAAUUAAAACGGCUUUUAUACCUAGAAUUAUAUUAGCUUGGGUGAAUUGAAUAACCAAGGUAACUGCAUUACCCACUCUAGUUCAUUUAUUCCUUAAUAUUUACCACAGCUGCAUCUCAUGGAGUGUGGUUUGAACAAGUUAUAUUGAACUGCCAUGUGGCCGUGACCCUUGUAAGUAUAACUCUAUCAAGAACUAUUAAUCUGGGCUCCAGCUUUUGUAUUUUGGGAAUUCUGAGAGUCUGGUCAGGUAUUUCUAGUGCUUUGCUUUAAUAAUAAGCAAUAUGAACAUCACCAAAUAAUUUAAAGAUUCUACCUGUUCCAUGAAAGGGCAAAGCAACUCCUAAAUGCCAAAGGAGAUGAAAAACCAAAGAAGGAGGUAAACAAAUCCACUUUGUUGGUUUUGGGUAAUUUAUUAUGGGGAAUUUACAGGCACAAGUGUGGUUUUGGGCAUACGCAAGAUAGGUAGAUCUCCGUACCUCAAGCCCCCAGACCCAGGGCUUAUAUCUUGAGAAGAAAGCAUACAUGCUCUGGAAGGAAUGUGUAGCCAGUUUUGGGCAUCACAGCCCGUGAUUUCUGUGAUAACAAGCGUUGUUUUGGAGGAAACCUUCAAUAAGUAGAUGUUUCUACAUAAGGAGUAAUACAUCAGCUAGCCAUUUUGGAGGCAUUCCCCACCUCCUGGUUAAUUAGAAAUUGCAUGGCAGAUUCGCUUUUAAAAUAAAGUAACUCUUGUCCCCAUAAUACCUUUGUAAAAUCUUUCCACCUAUGUUUGCUAUGCCUGUAGGGAGACAAAUACUUUUAUUGAAUUUGUACAUACAAGGCUUAUUUUCAUUACCACUUUGAACUUAUUCAAUCUAAUUUCACAUCUGAUUUAUUUCCAUUUCAACUAUACCUCAAAGUCAAAUUUAUUUUCAUUCUAUAUUAAAAUAUACAAUGAUCACUAUGAUUUCCAAUCUUGUUUUUGAGAUCUGACAAAUUCUUAUGUGUAAAUAUAGUUUUCUGGUAAGGGGAGUAAUAGAUUUGCAACAAAAAUUAUGAAUUACUUGUUUUAUCUUUGAGUGUAUAUACGUAUACCUGUAUGUCUUAUUUAUCUAAAAUACAAACUUAAGCAUGUUAAGAAUAGAAGCCUUUCCCAUUAUUCCACACCUCCGUGGGGGCUUUAGAACUGACUGAUAUUCUGUAAACUGAUAACAUCUAUUACAUCACUUUUCACUUUGUAUUACAAUAUUGGAUUAUAUGGCCAUUCUGUACCCACCCACAACUGAGAGCUGAAUGCAUAAAUAAAUGAAGACUGCAAAUUGUUUGUUUGAGUGAUUUGUCCAUGAAUCAGACAAAUAUUUUCAGGUUUGUACAUAGGAUUUUUUUAAAGCCCUGAAUGUUAACACAUACACAAUAUGGUUUUACAUUGUUUACAUGGGUUUACUGUAUAUCCAAAAAUUAUAUACAUUGGUACUCUUCAUUUGCUUAUAACUUGAAGAUAACUUAUAGCACAAACUGGAGAAAAGAAAAGACACUGUAUUAUAAAAUCUAUUAUUUUCAACCUUUUUUUCCCUGCUGCUAAGGUUUAUUUGGCUGAUAGUGAAUAUUUAAAAUCUUCUUAUAUUUUUUAUUUUUAUUUUUAUUUUUUGGUUUUUGAGACAGAGUCUUCCUCUUUCACCCAGGCUGGAGUGCAGUGGCACGAUCUCAGCUCACUGCAACGUCCGCCUUCUGGAUUCAAACAGCUCUCCUGCCUCAGCCUCCUGAGUAACUGGGAUUACAGGCAUGCACCACCAUGCCCGGCUAAUUUUUGUAUUUUUUUAGUACAGACAGGGUUUCACCAUAUUGGCCAGGCUGGUCUUGAACUCUUGACCUCAGGUGAUCCGCCUGCCUUGGCUUCCUAAAGUGUUGGGAUUAUAGGCAUGAGCCACUGUCCCGGCCUAAAAUCUUCUUUUAACCCUGAUCUGUGAAAUGACAUUGAAUCUUACUCUUGACCACCCACAGAAAUGUAAAGAAUUAGCUCACUUUAUGUAUGGAAAUCACAUAAAGCCACAGCCACAGGGACAGACACUGGUGGGGGAAGGGUCACUUUCUUCUGGCAGGAAAUGGAAUAAAAACCCAGAAAUUUUCUUCCUAUUAAUAAAUAUCUUGUAAAUGUUCUCAUAUAAAUAUACACUAUACAUGAGCCUAUGAAAAUAAAAUAUUUCUUUACGUCCACAUAUUGUAGGUUUAGAAAUAAAUGUAAACUUCAGGAAAACGCAACAGGAGAUAAUUAUAAGAGAAUACAAACAACAUAAUUACUAGGAAGACAAGCCUGGGAUCAGGGUUACCAGGUGACCAAACCCAGGGGAAAGUAACAUGAAGGUGAGUUGGGAUAUAGAGUCAUCCAUAUACAGUUAUCCAAUUAGCCAAAUGCCUGGGCAGCUAGGUGUCUGAGAAGAAGUGGAAUUGAACAUGAUAUUUUAUGGUGGCUUAAGAAAAUUUCCUAUCGAGUCAACACAGAAUUGAUGAAGAGAAGGGGACUAUUUGCUGACAUGUUAUUUCCUGUUUCCUGCCUUCUCCCUACCCACCUAUUUGUCUCCAACUAAAAUUUCAUUAAUCAUCAAUUGUCAGCAUCUACAGAAUAACAAACUUUUUUUUAAGUUUUUUUUUUUUUUUUUUUUUUUUUUUUUUUUUUUUUUUUUUUUUUUGAGACAGAGUCUUGCUCUGUCGCCCAGGC